GCGGGUGUCGUAUAACGGCUAUUACCUCAGCCUUCCAAGCUGAAGACGACGGUUCGACUCCGUUCACCCGCU
rnacentral:tRNA from 1 species